CCCUUAACUAUUAAAAGUUUCGUUUUGGUCCUUUAACUUACUUUUUGGUUUCGUUUUGGUCCCUUAACUUAUUUUUUGGUUUCAUUUUGGUCCCUUAACUCUAAUACAUUCAUCCUAACAUAAAGGACCAAAGUGGUUGACAGAGGAUGAGUUAAGGGACCAAAACAAAACCAAAAAGUAAGUUAAAGGAUCAAAACGAAACCAAAAAGUAAGUUAAGGGACCAAAACGAAACUUUUAAUAGUUAAGGUA
rfam:Medicago truncatula strain A17 chromosome 4, whole genome shotgun sequence.